UGGUCUGGAGCUCGAGUUCCGCGGGAAGCACGGUUGACGCGCGCGCACGGAUAGCAGAGCCCAUUUUGGCUUCACAGACCCUGCGCACAUCGUAGUUUCACAUGAAAAGCUUAUUUAGCACUCAUAAAGUGAAAUGAAAUUAAUAAAGUUGCUUCAUCGCCUGACAGGAAAUGCGUACGGACGUGGCUGACAUGAGAGUAUUAAAAUAAAGGUGCAUCUUAAAAAAAUUGUCUAUAUCGAUAUUUAGGCGUUGUAUCGAUAACAUUGGAUCGUUAGUUAUUGGAUCGAUGCAUCGUUACACCCCUAUUUUUUAUGUGCUUGAAAUUAAAUGUAACAACAUGUAACCGUCUAAAUUCCAUCCUGACGCAACAAGACAAUCACAAGGCAUUUUGUAGUCACGUGACACUUCGUAGCUGGCGCGCCAGGAGGAGUGUAGUCUCAAUAAGGUUUCAGGAUGUGGCACUCCACAAAAACAUGGGCUAACACAAAAGGGAGUGUUGCACAUCUCUCAUGUACUUGGCCCCGUAACAUUGCUGGGAGAAUGUGGGACUGGUAUACCAGUAUCCUUCCUCACAUAAGGCGUCGGUAUAAACUAAUGAAAUGCCAGCCUACCCUUCCACAAAAAUGGAACAAAAACACGCUGAAAGGAGUGUUAUUCACUUAGACAGACCUUGCAGUGCCGCCUGGUCCUGCUGCCCUGGGAGUUGGUUUGAGGAACUUCAGAAGGGAAAUGCCUGGCUGUCAGACGCGGGGGUUUGUCUGAGGCAGGACGGCCCCCACUGCACCUAUACCGUGGUGAACUGUGCUCCUCAAGUAACCCUUUCAUCAGGUUGAUCCUGAAUUGCAGGGAAUCAGUGGAGUGCCCUAUUAAUAGUAAGGGGCCAGUAAGGACAUGACAAUGGACCCAGGGAUCCCAAGUCCCUCAUAGUGGUGGAUGUCAGUGGUGGAUCCAGUGUACAUCACACAAAACUACAAUAUCAGCUCAAUUACAUUAAUCUCAAUUUCAUUUACAUUAGUCAGAACCUACUAAGCCAGCUUUCCUUUCACUCCAGGUGGUGUUUUCUCCAGCUGUUCUGCGGCGUAGCGGUUUGUUUCCUGAUCUCCUCAACAAGCUCCUCUGUUAUAAACAUUUUCAAACACUAGACCUCCGUGGGAGAUGCAGGUGGGGUCUGACUUUGAGGGUUAAAAAACAAACAAACAACUGAUGUCUAGGAGGGAUAAAAUUGUUGGUAGCUCUCCAGCAGGAAGAGCUUACCUCCUCCACCUCCUUUGGUGUGGUGUGUGCAGGUGAUGAAGCAGACAUCUUCAGAAUUAAAAAAAAUAUUUCUCUGAUCUCCUCAUCUGUUAAUUGUUUUCUUUUAAAAGCAGAAAUCUUUUCUGUGGCAAUUGUGUAAAUAAAACUGUAAAUAAAUGCAAUUAGCUAAAGAAUUUGUGUGUGUAAAAUCUGUGACAAGCGCCAUUGCGAGUCUGAGGUAAAAGUGGCAUGCUGUGACACUUGUCAUCGGGGUAAAGGGAAGACUACGAAUCAUUAAAAAAAAAGAAAGAAAGAAAACUAUGAAGCAUUACUGAUGUCAAUCCUUUAUUUCAGAUUCUUAGUUUUUAUACAAAACAUCUUAUUUACUGCAUAAAAAAUGUGUUAUUAGAUCCUCAAAUAUGUCAAACAUAUGCAUUUAUAUAACUUAUAUAAUGAUUGUAUUAUUAUCGAGAUAAACGUAAUUAUUGAUAGGCUGUGACCAUGGCCAUGUUUGUUUACAUUGCAAUGCAGACUUCAGAGUCCAGAGCCUGUCAACAUAAUAUUUGUUUCA